AGAGUUUGAUCCUGGCUCAGGACGAACGCUGGCGGCAAGCUUAACACAUGCAAGUCGAACGCCGUAGCAAUACGGAGUGGCAGACGGGUGAGUAACGCGUGGGAACGUGCCUUUUGGUUCGGAACAACUGAGGGAAACUUCAGCUAAUACCGGAUAAGCCCCGAGGGGGAAAGAUUUAUCGCCAAAAGAUCGGCCCGCGUCAGAUUAGGUAGUUGGUGGGGUAACGGCCUACCAAGCCGACGAUCUGUAGCUGGUCUGAGAGGACGAUCAGCCACAUUGGGACUGAGACACGGCCCAAACUCCUACGGGAGGCAGCAGUGGGGAAUAUUGGACAAUGGGCGAAAGCCUGAUCCAGCUAUGCCGCGUGGAUGAAGAAGGCCUUAGGGUUGUAAAGUCCUUUCGCCGCUGAAGAUAAUGACGGUAAGCGGAGAAGAAGCCCCGGCUAAUUUCGUGCCAGCAGCCGCGGUAAUACGAAAGGGGCUAGCGUUGUUCGGAUUUACUGGGCGUAAAGCGCACGUAGGCGGCUUGGCAAGUUGGGGGUGAAAUCCCCGGGC
rnacentral:rRNA from 1 species